AACGAACGCUGGCGGCAGGCCUAACACAUGCAAGUCGAGCGAGGACUUCGGUUCUAGCGGCGGACGGGUGAGUAACGCGUGGGAAUGUGCCCUUCUCUACGGAAUAGCCCUGGGAAACUGGGAGUAAUACCGUAUACGCCCUAUCGGGGAAAGAUUUAUCGGAGAAGGAUCAGCCCGCGUUGGAUUAGGUAGUUGGUGGGGUAAUGGCCUACCAAGCCGACGAUCCAUAGCUGGUUUGAGAGGAUGAUCAGCCACACUGGGACUGAGACACGGCCCAGACUCCUACGGGAGGCAGCAGUGGGGAAUCCUAGACAAUGGGGGCAACCCUGAUCUAGCCAUGCCGCGUGAGUGAUGAAGGCCUUAGGGUUGUAAAGCUCUUUCAGCUGGGAAGAUAAUGACGGUACCAGCAGAAGAAGCCCCGGCUAACUCCGUG
rnacentral:rRNA from 1 species